AAAGCUCUUAUUCCAACAAGCCCAGAAAAUUAAGAGGAUAAAUGGGCUAAAUUCUUACCGAUGAUAUUACCAGUUAUUCUGACAACAACUUAUGAUAUCACCCUCGGGUCACUCCCUAAAGAGUUAAAUGCAUUCCUUUAGGAUAGCAAGGCUACAUGGUCUUCUCUUCCCACAACGGAUUCUAUACCUGUCUUCUAUCCAACAGCACUUACUCUUGAACUAGUUACUCUCGUUGCAGUUAUUGCAUCAAGCAUGGGUUAUGAAAGCAAGGUAACAAAGUUAAGGCUUUCCUUCUUAGAUGGGGCCUAAGGACUCUUUUCUCGGCCUAAUGACUGGUACUUUAAUAGCAUGUAAGGAGCCCAUUCACGAGCACCAGUUUUCCUGGCUUGGGGGAGUAUUGAAGUAAGCUAUCCCACUAAUACAAUUCGAUGCUUCCUGCGUCAAAGGAAAGUAUGGUCAAUCAGUCGUCCCUCAAAGCCCCUUCUCAAGACACUCUUUCUUAGUUUCUUUGCCUUCUUCUGUUCGAUCCAUUUCUUGACUUCCCCAUG
rnacentral:lncRNA from 1 species